rnacentral:lncRNA from 1 species
GUCUCCCAAGCAUACAACUUCAAAACCUUCAUGUUUGCUAGUGCCUCUGCAAUAGCCUUCAGCCUCCUGUCUUGUGACACCAGGAGCUUUGUUAGGUGCUUGUGCUGUAAAUUACCCAUCGGAUAAUUUCCAAGCACAGUCAAUGUAAUCACUAAGACUGCUGCAAUAGUUGCCAGCCCCACAGAAUAGUAAAGGAUCACAAGUGCAAGACAUAUCUGAAGGCCUGUUGUCCAUAUCUGGUGAAACCAAUAUGGAAACUCACCUAUUCUAUAGGCAUCCACCGUGACAUAAUUUGUUAUCUCUCCGGGAGAAUGAGUCAGUUUAGCAGCAUUUGAGAGCCUGAGUUGCUUCUGAUAGAUAGCUGCAGAUAGCGAGGAUCUUACCUGGAGUCCUAUUAUUCUACUUCGAAAGUACCAUUGCCUCUCCAACAGUGACUCUAAGCAUUUUGCAAUGAAUAGCCCCACGGUCAGGGUGUAUCCCUCAUACUUAAAUGUUUCUUUUCCUUGAGCAACCCGAAUGAAAGCUUUUAGAAGCAACGGACCAGUAGCAACUGCAAGAACCUUGACCAAUGCAAAGAAACCGGACAUUAGAAUACCUCUCCGCUGCCAGAAAAAUAUUGUGGACAAAAUAGGAGGAUUCGGUGUUCCUUUCUCCUUCCUUUUGCUUAGCUCCUCCAUAAACACCGAGUAACAUGUCUCUGCUCGAUCCACUUUCCGUAGCUUUGGUAUAUCUUUGUCCUCGAGAAUUUUCCCCUUACCUUUCUUCAACAAUGGAUUCAACCACCAAAAUGACAUUCUGCUAAAAAAUCCAGCCUUUACAAAAGGAGUUACACUGUCAUCCGUGUCGACUUCACUAUCAGUAUCAAUUCUUCGUCAAGUAAAGGUGCAUAGAGUGCAUCAGAUCUGGUAGUGGUUACAGUUUCUGCAUAAGUUUGUGGUCGAAAAGCACAGAAGAGCAUUAGAAUUGCUCCGGUAAAAGAUAAAAUAUCCAGCACACGCUUAACUGAUGCUACUUUGUCCCCAAUAGCUUCCCAAAGAUAUGAAAUGCAGAGAAAUCCAGCAAACAAAAAGGAAAUUACAGAACAAAGCUUUACUGUUGUGAUAUGCGAACUCUGUUGCCACCGGUGGCUCACAGUGCACCAAGCAACAACCAUGUGAACCCAUGAAAUAACAAAACUAGCCACCAAUGCAGAGGUAUCAAGCUCUGAUCUGACCUUAAUUUCUUUUGAAUUGUCCAAAACCCCAAACCCACAUAGGCCAAACCCACCCCACCAUUGAAAAUGGCAGAGGAAAUUGGCAAUGCCAUAUAACGUUUAGAGCGUGGCGAGGCUGCCACCUUGUUGGGUGAUGAUCUAAAGAUGACCAUAAACAAGCAGGUGAUAAAGAUCAGGAUAUCAACUGAAAUGACCAAAACAUGGUUGAUGCAUGAGAAGGGAUUGAUAAUUUCCAUAAAGCCAGAUAUGUCUGAAUUUCGACGGAAAACAGUCCAAGAACCCUCCUCGAUUCUGUAUUCCUUUGCGUUUAUGAUGAUGCAACUCUGAAACAAUAAAUUAAGAGAGAGAGAGAGAGAGAGAGAGAGAGAGAUGUACAUGAGAAAUCGGUUUUCUAAGCUCAGUAAGUAGAAAUGUUGUUAGCGCAGCAUAGCCAUCAACAAUAAGUAGAAAUGAAAUAAGUACCAAACCAUUUUAUGAACUCCUAAAUUGAAUCAAUUUAAGACUGCAUGGUGUACUAAAUGAUACUGUCAGGUUUUCAGGAUUUUUUUCUACUAUCAAAUUCUGCUACAAUUAUAAAAUAUACUUUUGAAUUAUGCAGUAACUUUGUCUAAUUCCUUUUGAUUCUCCAAUAAUAAUGCAUUUUCUGGUAUCCGACUAAUCCUAAUAAGAUCAAGGGCAAUUAGAAUUUCAAAAUGAAAAAUCAUUUGAUUUUUUAAUUUUUUGUAAACCAAACGGCAACGUAGAUUACAACAUCCAAACAUAAGUAAAUGAGAGAGAGAGUAUCACACAAUUAGCAAGAGUCUAAAACUAUCAUAAAUAGUGCAUGGAAAAACUUCAUAUGAAGUACCUAUCUUUCAGGGGGAAACAGCAAAAAUCUAGAGACCUGGAAUCAUUUAGAAAAUAGGAAAGUUAACACAAAGAUAUAAAUGAUUUCAUGCACUUGGUUUUCUUGCUUUUCUCUUCUUUAUAUUUUUUCUGAUAUAAAACUGUACCCCCACAUGCUUACUUUUUUACAUUAGAAAUUAGAAAUUAUCAUCUGUCUGCAUCAAGGGCUAGACCAACCUCUGUUGUAUCACUCAUGCAAGAAAAAAAUCUAGCUCUCUCUAUAAUGAUUAGUCAUAGCUGAUUGUUGCAAUGGUAUCAUGUAUUUUCUCCACGGUUUAGGGUUUAAGCUUUAUCUUAAAGUUGGCAAGUUGUGGGCGUACCUUGAGCUGACAUUGAUGAUACGAAUCGUUCAUAUUGUAGGACUCGAUGAGACAAUCGUCCAUGCAUUAAAUCAGGUUGAUAGGCAGUGGUAUUCACAUGAUUGGAUCAGGAUACAAAAUAUAAGUUUUAGAAUACCCGUCUAUUUUCUUAAGACCAAUAUUUAUUUGAUCACGUGACGACUAAUCUCUGAUUUUGAUUUAUUACAUGGAUAAUCUUCUCAGUUUGCUUUACAUUUUACAUGAUGAAGGGUUCAUAUCACUGAAGUGAGUUCAAAGUAGACACAUAUUCCACCAACUUUACUCUAGAGAAGUCGGAUCUUAUGUAUUCUAAAAUGGAUUGACAUAAAUCUCACCUGACAAACUCACUUUAGGUUGUAUUUGGAUCAAGGAUUUGGUGAGAAAAAAAGAAAUAAAAAUGAAAAAGUUAGACGAUUCAACCGUUCGAGACCAUUAAAUCAUCUACCUUUUUUAUUUUUAUUUGUGUUUUGUGUUUUUUUUAGCAAAUAAAAAUGCAUUUGUACUCAAAAUGGGAAAAUUUAAUUUCCAAUGGAAUUCAACCAUUCAAAUGCACACAGAUAUGAGAAAUAGCCAAAAAAAAAAACCGAGUAAGAGUACGUAAGGAUUACCUAAAACCAUCAAGUGUUCUAAUUAAAUCUUUUUGCAAGAAUUUUAUUAUAAAUAAUAAGUCAUCAAGUUUAAACAAGGCCUUAUUUGAAUAGUAGUGCAAAAAAUGAUGAACUUAAAUUAUGAUGUUUUUUGUUUGUCUUCUCAUUGUGGGGCACAGAUCAUUAAAAGUAUCUCUAAUAAGACGAAACAAUGAAAUAGGAGUAAUUAAUAAGAACAACAGUGUCCAACAGGGAGAAAAAUAACUUGGUCAUGUGGUGGACGACUAGUCUUAUAGGUUAAAAACAGUUAUAAGGAUCCAUACAAAAUUCUUCUGAUGGAUCAGGUGACAAACGAAUCAAGCUACUGGAGUUCGAUUCGUUAAAAGCUCAUUUGAGAUCGAUUCGCUUGAUGAACAAAUCAAGUUCGGACAAUAGUUUAACUUUCAAAAUGAUUUUUUAACUAUCUUGAUUUUCGAGUGUUUUCAUCUUUAGUGAUUUUUUUCAUCAUUUGAUCAAAAUUUUAUACUUUUUCUAAUCUUCUUGAUGAGAAGAAUAUGAAAAUGAAAAAAAUUUAUUCAAAUUUAAAAAACAAACUACAAAAAACUAAAAUUACUUUCAGGAUUUCAGCAAUUUUUUUUCUACUAUCAAAUUCUGCAACAAUUAUAACCUAUACGUUUGAAUUCUACAGUAACUUUGUCUAAAUCCUUUUGAUUCUCCAGGAAUAACGCAUUUUACUGUAUCCAACUAAUCCUAAUAAGAUCAAGGGCAAUUAGAUUCUCAGACGGAAAAAUCCUUUGGUUUUUUAAGAUUUUGUAAACCAAGCAGCGAUGUAGAUUACAACAUCCAAAAAUAAAUAAAUGAGACUUUCACAGGAAUUGGUAAGAUUCUAAAACUAUCAUAAAAAAUCAGUUGAUUUCUUAAGUUUUUGUAAACCAAGCAGCGAAGUAGAUUACAACAGUCAAAAAUAAGUAAUUGAGAGAUAAGUAUCACAGAAAUUAGCAAGAGUCUGAAACUAUCAUAACAGUGCAUGGAAAAACUUCAGUAUAAAAUUCUACCCCCACACGGUUGCUUGUUCAAACCUAGAAUCUCACUUUACAUUAUAAAUUAAAAAUUAUAAACUGGCUGCAUCAAGGGCUGGAUCAACCUGUCUUGGAUCACUCAUGCAAGAAAAAAAUCUACCUCUAGAUAAUGACUGCAGAAUUUUGCAAUAGGAUUAUGUAUUUGGAACACACGUUUAGGAUUUACACUUUAUCGUAAAGUUGGAAAGUUUUGGCCUCGCUAAGACAAUCAUCCAUACAAAAAAUCGGGUCGAUCUGGUUUUGGUAUUCACACAACUGGAUCAUUUUUGUUUUGAUAGAAAAUAUAAUUUAUUACAUGGAUAAACUUCUCGGUGUGAAUGUGAUUUAUAAGAUCAAUGGUUCAUAUCACUGAGUGAGUUCAGAGGAGAUUCAUAUCCCAACAAUUUUAUUCUAAAGAAGUCGGAUCUUAUGCAUUCUAGAAUGGAUUCACAUAAAUCUCAGCUGACUUAACAAUCCAAACUCAAUUUAGUGUGUUUUUUUUAACAAAUAAAUUUGCAUUUGUACUCAAAAUGGGAAUUUUUGAUUUCCAAUGGAAUUUUCCCAUUCAAAUGCGCACAGAGAUGAUAAAUAUCCGAAAGGUUUUUCUUUUUUUUUCAUACAUGGCUGAAAAAUGCCCAACAGUCAUUUUGUAAGGAUACACCACAUAUUUUUGGAUGGCUGCAACUGCAAGACUCAUUAAAUUGAAACCACUGAAAAUAAAGUCUUACCAAAUCCAACAUUAGUAAGGAUUAGCUAAACCAUUUAUUGUUCUAAUCAAAAUAAUUUGCAAGUGUUUCAAUAUAAAUAAUAAGUCAUCAAGUUUAAACAGGGCCUUAUUUGAAUAGUAGUGCAAGACAUAAUGUAACAGAGAUGUGACGUUUUUUGUUUGACUCCUUACUGUGAGGAAGAAAUGAUUAAA